UACGUAGGGGGCUAGCGUUGUCCGGAAUCAUUGGGCGUAAAGCGCGUGUAGGCGGUUCGGUAAGUCCGCUGUGAAAGUCGAGGGCUCAACCCUCGAAAGCCGGUGGAUACUGUCGGGCUAGAGUGCGGAAGAGGCGAGUGGAAUUCCCGGUGUAGCGGUGAAAUGCGCAGAUAUCGGGAGGAACACCCGUAGCGAAGGCGGCACUCUGGGCCGGAACUGACGCUGAGGAGCGAAAGCGUGGGGAGCAAACAGG
rnacentral:rRNA from 1 species